AUGUGGCACUAUAGGUCAGCGUGUCUGGCUGUUAACCAGAAGGCUGGUGGUUUGAGCCCAACCAGAAAUG